UGCAGUCUCUGACUCACGAAGAAAAGCAGGCACAGACACUGUUCCCCUCCCAAAUUACUUAGAAUGUCCUCCAAGCAGGCACCUGGCUCCCGGAGGUGAGAUUCCUGUUCAACAAAUUACAUCUAGAAUGGAACAGCUGUGAUAGGUGAAAGGGUGAGUCUUUACAGUGCCCACAGCUUUUCCAUAAACCCCACUCAACCCUACUAUUUGGAACCAUGGACCAGAUGCAGGAUUGCCACUACAUUCCAAACACCAAGAUUCUGCCAUGUACUAAUUGUGUGAACCUGCUGGGGACUCAAGCUGGGGAGAACCAACAUAUAAAAUCCUCAGUGGGAAAAAAAAGAAAAGAAAAAUUCUGGGAACCCAGGUAUAGUAGAAAUCAUUGGAAUAAUUCUAGUAUGAGGUGGGGAAGGGUGGGUGGGGAGCAUAAAGAGGACAACUAGACUUACUAUGCUCUGGUGAGAAAGGGUUUCUGUUGUAAUAAUAUUGGUGUGAGGGAGGGAGGAAGGAUCCAUACCUAUAAUUUAUUAGUAUGAGGGACUUCCUAUUUUCCCUUGUGCAGAUUCAAGACACAUAUUAAUAUAUUUUAAUAUGUAUGUGUUGUUUCCCCCUGUAGAAUGUAAGCUUCUUGAGGACAGAAACUAUUUCACUCCUGUCUUUGUUUCUCCAGCACCUAACCCACUGUCUGCCACAUAACAGGCAUUCUGGAUUAAUUGAUUGAUGUCCACCUUAGAGUCUCAGUGAGUUGCCUGGAGCACUGAGAAGUAACUUGGCCAAAGGAACACAACUAGUAUGUGGCAGUUAUAAUUUGAAUGUGAGCCUUUCUACUAUCCUCUAUCUACUCUAUUGAUAAUGAUGAAGAUGAUGCUGAUUUGGAGAACAAUGCCAGUAAUGUCAGUAAUAAUCACUGGCACUUAUGUAGUGCUUUCAGAUUUGCAUAGCUCUUUACAUACUUUAUCUAGGGGCCAUAAAUCUCUGUGAUUCACUCUGAUCCUCAAUCUCCCUGAAUCUUUGGCAUAGUGAGUGCUUUGUCACAGAAAUUUACUGUCAUCUCAGUGGCAGUGGGUUGGAGUCAAGGCUGGAUCAUAAAGCCCAGUACUAUAUCCUCAAGCUGCUGCAUUUUGGCUCUCCAAGAAGCUGUCAAAAAUCCUUGAUUUCAGAGGGUUGUGAAAAAGAGGAGCAGGUAGGACAUUCCUCCUUUAAAAGUGGAAUUUCCCCCGUUAUGCCUUCUUCCCUUCCUUCCACAGAAGUUUAUGUCUGUGAUUUUUCUUCAUGGCUCUUUGAGUCUCAGAUACGGUGAAAGUUCAGUCCUUCAGAUGUCCCUCUUGAGAAGCCAUCAGUAGCCACCA
rnacentral:lncRNA from 1 species